rnacentral:rRNA from 2 species
AAGAGCUCAAAUUUUGAAUCUGGCGGUGUUUGGCCGCCCGAGUUGUAAUCUAGAGAAGCGUUUUCCGCGCUGGACCGUGUACAAGUCUCCUGGAAGGGAGCGUCAUAGAGGGUGAGAAUCCCGUCUUUGACACGGACUACCAGUGCUAUGUGAUGCGCUCUCAACGAGUCGAGUUGUUUGGGAAUGCAGCUCAAAAUGGGUGGUAAAUUCCAUCUAAAGCUAAAUACAGGCGAGAGACCGAUAGCGAACAAGUACCGUGAGGGAAAGAUGAAAAGAACUUUGGAAAGAGAGUUAAACAGUACGUGAAAUUGCUGAAAGGGAAACGCUUGAUGUCAGUCGCGUUGGCUAGGGAUCAACCUUGCUUUUUCUGCUGGGUGUACUUCCUGGUUGACGGGUCAGCAUCAGUUUUGGUCGCUGUACAAGGGUAAGGGGAAUGUGGCACUCUUUGGAGUGUGUUAUAGCCUUUUGUCGUAUGCAGUGGGUCAGGACUGAGGAACUCAGCACGGCUUAGGCUUGUGCUUAGGAUGCUGGCAUAAUGGCCUUAAGCGACCCGUCUUGAAACACGGACCAAGGAGUCUAACAUGCCUGCGAGUGUUUGGGUGGUAAACUCGGGCGC